rnacentral:lncRNA from 1 species
UCACUUCGAACUCUAUUUAAGUGAUCAUUAUUUUUAUUAUCAUGUGCAAUUGACUCAGCAUUCAGUUGAGGACUUCAUUCUUCAGAGUAUUUUUCACCCUAAAGAAGCACCACAUAAAAAAGGAUAGUGGUACUUCAGUCCUAAGUAUGGAUGGAAGUUCAUUAUCGAUCUCCCUUUCUCUAUUCAUGGAUGAAAAAGUUGUUUUUUUUUGCUUCAUCGAAUCAACCCUAGAGCUUCA